AAAAUCUUUGGCGAAUGUUGUGGCAUCUGGCGCUGACACGACCAACUCUCUCUGUCUGUCCCCAACAGUUUAUUUAUUUCGCAAGAAUUCCGUGGAGGAAACAUUUUUUUCCAUGUUUGAAGUCUUGCUUGGUGAUGGAAUGAGUCAUUUUCUGAAGCAAUGAGAUGGAAGGAACCUUCAUAGCAUCCAACAAACAAGGAUUUCUAUGAGGCAUUGUGUUUUCCACAUUGCAGACCUCUGUAUCACCAACUUAAAUGAGCCUCCACCUGUCCACCAUGAUCUCCCCCAAACUUAAUCCACACCUCUUCAGGAAUUGCCCCAUCGUGAGUUGUGAGAAAUCCAUUCCUGUGGAAAGAUGAUGGAACAUGAACAUAUGGUCUGUGACUCUGCUAUGGACCUAGUGAAUCACUGUUGACUGUCCAUGGUUCAAGUGAGAAUUGGCAAACCUGGUAAUUUCUUGAUUAC
rnacentral:lncRNA from 1 species